GCUUCAAUUCGACGCAACGCGCAGAACCUUACCAGCCCUUGACAUGGGACUCGCCGGGAGCAGAGACGCUCCCUUCGGUUCGGCCGGAGUCCGCACAGGUGCUGCAUGGCUGUCGUCAGCUCGUGUCGUGAGAUGUUGGGUUAAGUCCCGCAACGAGCGCAACCCUCGUCUCCAGUUGCCAUCAGGUUAAGCUGGGCACUUUGGAGAAACUGCCGGUGACAAGCCGGAGGAAGGUGGGGAUGACGUCAAGUCCUCAUGGCCCUUACGGGCUGGGCUACACACGUGCUACAAUGGCGGUGACAAUGGGAUGCGAUGGCGCGAGCCGGAGCCGAUCCUAAAAAACCGUCUCAGUUCGGAUUGCACUCUGCAACUCGAGUGCAUGAAGUUGGAAUCGCUAGUAAUCGAGGAUCAGCAUGCCUCGGUGAAUACGUUCCCGGGC
rnacentral:rRNA from 1 species